rnacentral:miRNA from 2 species
UAGUACUCCCUCCGUCCCAUA